UACAGAGGUCUCAAGCGUUGUUCGGAUUCAUUGGGCGUAAAGGGUGCGUAGGUGGCGCGGUAAGUCGGGUGUGAAUUCGGAGCUUAACUCCGAAACUGCAUUCGAUACUGCCGUGCUUGAGGACUGGAGAGGAGACUGGAAUUUACGGUGUAGCAGUGAAAUGCGUAGAUAUCGUAAGGAAGAACCAGUGGCGAAGGCGGACUCAGCUG
rnacentral:rRNA from 1 species